rnacentral:rRNA from 1 species
CGGACGGGUGAGUAACGCGUGGGCAACCUGCCCUUAUCUGGGGGAUAACAGUUGGAAACGACUGAUAAUACCGCAUAAUAUGGUUUGAAGGCAUCUUCUUUCCAUCAAAGAUUUAUCGGAUAAGGAUGGGCCCGCGUCUGAUUAGCUUGUUGGUGAGGUAACGGCUCACCAAGGCGACGAUCAGUAGCCGACCUGAGAGGGUGAUCGGCCACAUUGGAACUGAGACACGGCCCAAACUCCUACGGGAGGCAGCAG